rnacentral:rRNA from 1 species
AGAAUCAACGCUGGCGGCGUGCCUAACACAUGCAAGUCGAACGAGAAAGUGGAGCAAUCCAUGAGUAAAGUGGCGACCGGGUGAGUAACACGUGACUAACCUACCCUCGAGUGGGGAAUAACUUCGGGAAACCGAGGCUAAUACCGCAUAACACCCACGGGUCAAAGGAGCAAUCCGCUUGAGGAGGGGGUCGCGGCCGAUUAGUUAGUUGGCGGGGUAACGGCCCACCAAGACGAUGAUCGGUAU